AUUGAACGCUGGCGGCAGGCCUAACACAUGCAAGUCGAGCGGUAACAGAGAUAGCUUGCUAUCUGCUGACGAGCGGCGGACGGGUGAGUAAUGCUUGGGAAUAUGCCUUUAGGUGGGGGACAACAGUUGGAAACGACUGCUAAUACCGCAUAACGUCUACGGACCAAAGUGGGGGACCUUCGGGCCUCACGCCUAAAGAUUAGCCCAAGUGGGAUUAGCUAGUUGGUUGAGGUAAAGGCUCACCAAGGCAACGAUCCCUAGCUGGUUUGAGAGGAUGAUCAGCCACACUGGAACUGAGACACGGUCCAG
rnacentral:rRNA from 1 species